rnacentral:rRNA from 1 species
ACGUAGGCAGCGAGCGUUGUUCGGAGUUACUGGGCGUAAAGGGUGUGUAGGCGGUUCUCUAAGUUUGGUGUGAAAUCCCACGGCUCAACCGUGGAACGGCUGGGUAUACUGGGCGUUUUGGGCCAUUCAGGGGCGACUGGAACAAGCGGUGGAGCGGUGAAAUGCGUAGAUAUCGCUUGGAACGCCGAAGGUGAAAACAGGUCGCUGGGGAUGUGCCGACGCUGAGACACGAAAGCCAGGGGAGCAAACGGGA